UACGAAUAGAAUUUCACAAGAAUCGAAACACAAAGCAAUUUGCGUAGAAUAAAUCUGUACAGAGAGUAGAGUAUUGAAUAAUAUGGUAGUGGAUGGCGGAUGUAUUGUCUGUUCACUACGCAUAUCAGCCAGGCAAUCAAACGCUUAUAUGUACACUGGAGAUUCCUGGCCAGUUAGUAGCCUAAACAUCGAUGUGGGCAUCGUUUUCAUUAAUAUCUGAAAUAAAAUACAAUUGAUCCGUAUUCAAAACCAUGAUCUUUUCCGUCGAGAUGAACAAAUCAACUUCUGUACUUGGUUGAGUUUCGCCAUCCGGUGCCUGCACGAGAGUCGAACAUAACAACGAUUAUAGAAUAGAAUAUAAUGAUACAUCUAAGGGUUGGAGGGCGGACCUUGAUCUUAGUCACAGCCUCCCGCACUAUGUGGUUGUUAAGGCGCUUACGUCUCCCUUCCUCUUCAACUUCAACCGAUCCGAGAAAGUGAAGCCUGAAAACGGUGGUGGGCUCCAUAGAGCCACUGAUCGGGGCCAGUUUUGGUUGGAGCCCCACAGUCUGCGACUCGGACUGGCCCCCACCAGAUGCGUUCCCUAUGAGUUCUUCACUCGAGUCGCAUUCAUCUUCCUCGAAGCUUCCUUGCGAUGCAACGCUGCACCGACCAAACCCUUGCUGCCCCCCAUAGUUUAACAGCGUAGCCUGCAUACCCGUAGUCAUUGGCCCCUCCUUCCGUAACGAUAAACAAAACAAAUGCUCUUGCUAGUCACAUUACCACGCACCACCGACACCACGAGCAAACGCGGACAAUUUUUUCGUCUUUUCAUUUCCCACUUUUAUUAUUAUUAUUUUUUUUUUUUUU
rnacentral:misc_RNA from 1 species